UGUGCCUACGGGGGGCAGCAGUCGGGAAUAUUGCGCAAUGGAGGAAACUCUGACGCAGUGACGCCGCGUAUAGGACGAAGGUCUUCGGAUUGUAAACUAUUGUCGUUAGGGAAGAGAAAGGACAGUACCUAAGGAGGAAGCUCCGGCUAACUACGCGCCAGCAGCCGCGGUAAUACGUAGGUGGCAAGCGUUAUCCGGAUUUAUUGGGUGUAAAGGGCGUGUAGGCGGGAACGCAAGUCAGAUGUGAAAACUCAGGGCUCAACCCUGAGCCUGCAUUUGAAACUGUGUUUCUUGAGUGCUGGAGG
rnacentral:rRNA from 1 species